rfam:Caenorhabditis brenneri strain PB2801 C_brenneri-6.0.1_Cont34.27, whole genome shotgun sequence.
AGCUGAUUUCACUUUCGGUGAUAUGUCCAUGAUGCGCCUAUCACCGGGUGUAAAUUGGCUCG